UAAAACUUGUUUCAGAACGGAAAUAAGAAGGAAAAAAACUGUUUUAUAUUUAAAAAAAACUUAGAUGAGGGCCUUGAUUAGGAUCUUCAUAUCUGUAUUCUAGAAUUUGUGUCUAUUAUUCUCGCCCGUUGGUUGCCAGGACGUCUGCUGAUGCCUGCAUUUUCCCAUUGAUAGACCGCGACUUAAAUUUUAUUCUUUUAAUUUUAACACUCGAUUUUUGAGAACAAAAAAAAAAGAUUUUGUCCUAUUAUAUAUUCUUUAAAUUUGGUCUAUUUUCCUCUUUUCGGUAAACCCGUUCUGAUCAUAAUUUAUUUAGAUAAGUGUUGUUCGUCACACUGAGACCCCAUCAUAAAGAAAAAACAAAACACACAAAUAAAAAAAAACACACACACACACACACCGAAAUGAAUGGAAGUUGUCCGAGUCGAACCAAACAAAUAUUUUAGACACAAUCUACAGGCAUGCAGGUGUAAUAACUGAUAAUUUUGAUAAGAGGUUCUUACUUCCCACAAAGCUACCUAUGUCAAACAAUAUUUAUUUCUGAUUACAGUAAUAUGAACAAUCGUUUUAGUUCAAAAUCCCACAAACCGAUUGAUUCAUCGAAGUUUUUACCACUGAGAAUUUUGUUCACACAUAAAUUAUACACAGUAUUUUUUUUCUCAUAAAUGUUAUAUCAAAAGUAUAAUUUAGAUACUUAUAACGUCAGUCAAUCAUGCAAUGCUUCCAUCAGUCUUUAAAAGGAAAUAUAAAUGGCAGUACUGGAAUAUAGUGUGUUACACGGUUGAAAGGGUAGAAAACAGGUUGGGGGACUAGGUAUCAUCCACUUUUUGGCAAAAGAAAAUUAAUG
rnacentral:lncRNA from 1 species